rnacentral:rRNA from 1 species
UUCCGGUUGAUCCUGCCGGAGGUCACUGCUAUUGGGAUUCGACUAAGCCAUGCGAGUCGCAAUGCAAGACCUCGGCAGACGGCUGAGUAACACGCGGAUAACCUGCCCUGAAGUGGAGGAUAAUCUCGGGAAACUGAGGACAAUACUCCAUAGGUGUGGUAUGCUGGAAUGAGUCUCCUUCCACAAGAGCCGGCGCUUCAGGAUGGGUCUGCGGCCUAUCAGGCUGUAGUGGGUGUAACGGACCCACUAACCUACGACGGGUAGGGGCGUUGAGAGACGGAGCCCCCAGAUGGAUUCUGAGACACGAGUCCAGGCCCUACGGGGUGCAGCAGGCGCGAAAACUUCACAAUGUGGGAAACCGCGAUGAGGGGAUUCCAAGUGCUAACACUUUAGUUUAGCUGUUCACCUGCCUAAAAAGCUGGUGAAGUAAGGGCCGGGUAAGAUCGGGUGCCAGCCGCCGCGGUAAUACCUGCGGCCCGAGUGGUGGUCGUUAUUAUUGAGCCUAAAGCGUCCGUAGCCGGUUCAGUAAAUCUCUGGGUAAAUCGGGCGGCUCAGCCGUCCGAAUUCCGGAAAGACUGCUGAACUUGGGACCGGGGGAGGUUGGAGGUACUCCUGGGGUAGGGGUGAAAUCCUGUAAUCCUAGGGGGACCACCAGUGGCGAAGGCGUCCAACCAAAACGGCUCCGACGGUAAGGGACGAAGCCCUGGGGCGCAAACGGGAUUAGAUACCCCGGUAGUCCAGGGUGUAAACGCUGCAGGCUUGGUGUUGGGGGUCCUACGAGGGCGCCCAGUGCCGGAGAGAAGUUGUUAAGCCUGCCGCUUGGGGAGUACGUCCGCAAGGAUGAAACUUAAAGGAAUUGGCGGGGGAGCACAGCAACGGGUGGAGCGCGCGGUUCAAUUGGAUUCAACGCCGGA